GUUCCGGCUGCUGGUGAUUUAAGCAAGGAUCAGUUCUCCCUGCACUCGGGUUUUUGAGCCCUUCCCCCUCUACAUGCUGAUGCACUUGUCUGGGUUCAGGGCAGCCCAACACAACAGAGGGGAAAAGGAGAGAGAGAGACCUGGUUAUGCUGCUGCCUGGGAGGAAAGAGCCGGCGGAACACGAAGGAGUGGGGAGACCCGCAGAGAGUUAUGCUGCUGCCUGGGAGGAAGGAGCCAGCGGAACAUGAAGGAGAGGGGAGAGCUGCAGAGAGAGAGAGAGAGAGUCCAUGACCUGGUUAUGCUGCUGCCUGGGAGGAUGGAGGCGGCGGAAGACGAAGGAGAGGGGAGAGCCGCACUCAGACGCUGUCACUGCUAUGCACGUCAUUUGCCCCGUACAGCACUGCCAGUGACAGCCAGAUGCAGUCACUGUCAGUGCUGCAGCUGCUGCCCAGUGACCAAUCACAGUGACAGGGGUGCUUUCAGAUAGGCUGAAAGCACAUCCCUGCUGUUCUGCGGCACUUGGGCAGGUGCCGCUUCCAUUACUUGUUUCAAUAGGCUUUUACAGCCCUUUGCUUGGCCCCGCCCCCUGCUUCCGGCCGAUUACAAUGCACAGCAGGAGGCACCGUUCUUGGUGCUGCACAAAUGUAUUUAAACAGCCACACAUUAACAUAAUAUAAAAAAUAUACUUAUGACACAGAAUAUGUGGCACUGCCUCCCCUGACUGCACGUCCCUGCUACACCUGUAUAUAGUAUUGGAUAAAAACAAAAGUAAUGAUUAAAGCACAAUAUAAUUCUUUUA